rnacentral:lncRNA from 1 species
CCCAGGCUGGAGUGCAGUGACCGGAUCUCCGCUCACUGCAAGCUCCGCCUCCCGGGUUCACGCCAUUCUCCUGCCUCAGCCUCCUGAGUAGCUGGGACUACAGGCGCCCGCCACCACGCCCGGCUAAUUUUUUUGUAUUUUUAGUAGAGACGGGGUUUCACCGUGUUAGCCAGGAUGGUCUCGAUUUCCUGGCCUCCUGAUCUGCCUGCCUUGGCCUCCCAAAGUGCUGGGAUUACAGGCGUGAGCCACCACGCCCGGCCUGCCUGAUUCUUUAGGAAAUAGGUCUUCAGGACCCCCACACUUAAUCCUGGGAUGUGAAAGUGAUAAGGCUCAGUCAACUUAGGUGCAAUGCCUUAUCCAGGUAUGAAUGCAGUCUUUCCCUGAGCUGAAUAAAACUCAAGAAUCAAAGACUCUGUUCUUGCUUUCUCAAUCUGCUGUUGUCUCCACUCAGCUCACUUCCUAUGGAAAGGACUCAGGUAUGGGGCAGAGUCACUUCCUGCACCACACCAUCAGCAAAGCUAGCUCCUCUUGGCUGGCGCAGGCCCUCUGGCUUCCCAGCUAUGAGGUCACGCCAGCUGAGAAUUCAAUGAUCUGUCUUAACCACAGUGACUCAUGCAGCCUCUGGUUACCCUGCGGCUGGGACCCAGUUCCUCUACAGGAAGACAUAUUUUAAAUGAUUACAUGAAUGACGGAGAGUGCGCAGAGGGCUUUCAAAGAUUUGGAACAACCAGCCGGAAGCGCCAAAACUUACCCGGGAUACAACUAGAGUCCAGGAAGGAUCGCAGCCCUACUGAGAACUUGAAAGACCCCAAGUUCCAUCCUCAAAGCAUCCUCGCUGCUGCAUCAUUACAAAAUCCCCGUGAUCCACCUUUUCAAAGGGAGAACAAAGAACUGUGGGCAUCAGAAUCGGGAAGACCUACCGCCUUUAGGAAAAGACAAGGAAGAGAAGCCCUGUGUUGCAUCAGGGACGAAACUGAUUCUCUUGCAUCGAGACAGACUCUCCCUGAAAACUGAGUUCUUCCUGAACCAUCCAAUCACAUCGAGAUUUUGUUUCUGUGCAAAGGGGGACGCUGGGAUCCAGGCUUGAGCCUUUGUUCUCCUUAUGGAAUUUAUGAAACAUCCUCAGCUGCUGUCAUAUAGGAGAAGAAGCUCCUCCCUCAACCAUCCUAUGUGUACAACGUUUAAGCAAUUUCUUUGAUAAUUUUGGGGGUUGAAGACUGGGGGGCUAGCUCAGAAGAAAGGGGAUCAGGCCAGGUCUCUCUACUGAUCCCUGGAAGAAGAUGGCUCAUGUUAAUUUCCUUGUUGUUUCUAUUAAGGAGGUGAUAGAUUUUUUUUUCUGGAUAUUGUUAAAGAAGCUUGCCAGGCCUGUAAAGAAUGUACAGCAUUCUUCAGAUGAAAUAAGGCCAAUCAGUGGAAUAAUGAGGAAAGUAAUAUCUCCCUAGAGAGGCUGAUGGGGUUUUCAUCAAAUCAGCCAACCUUUUCCCGUCACUUACACUGCCAUGCACUCCAAGCAGGCCCCGUCCGCCUGCCUCCUCUCUUUUCUCCUCUUCGUCAAAACUUCCCUGUGGUUAUUAUUGAUAAUGGAAUACUCAGGGACCCAGGAAAUGUAUGUGCACUGGAUACCUCCUCUUUCUGAAGAAUAACUAUUAACUCUUAUUUCCUUUAUGACUCAACUGCCCCUUACAUCCCAGAAGAUCUUCAGAAGCCAAGAAGAAUAGAAGAGUUGCAGAGAUAUGGAAGGUCUUCUCCUUGGUGGCCUCUGUUGCCUUGAACUGAAGCUGAGAUGGGCAGGCUCCUGAUGUCCAGCUUAGAUUCUGAGGAUGAGCAGGGACAAGAUACAAGGGUCCAUCUAUGGAAGGACAGACCACAUCAUGGUGGCCCAAGGGGACUUCGGUGCUACAGGUGUGCCCAACGCCCAUUCCUUGCUUCAGAACUACAAAAAAAGAUACCUGGAAACCAAGUGGCUAAAUAGCCCCUUUACCAAACAGCAGGGCCCAAUGGCAGAGAGGAUUGAAGAGCUGGCCUGAAAUAUGUGCUGCAAAAAAUCUGAUUGUGUCUGCCCCGUGCGCUGUGGGCCAUCCUGCCCGUAGUGGGGCAGCCAUCUCCCUUGCAAGGGACUCCACUGAGCUGCUUAAAGCUGUCUUCCCAGUGGGCAGGGUAUCCCCAAAGGCCAAAUGAAAAGGGCAGAUGCAUGUCAUGCGAUGUGGCCAGAAGACACGUGGAUGCACCAGGAUAUGGUACCCUGGUUGUCUUCUUGAUGCACUGGUUGUCCUUUGGUUUUGAACCUCAUGAAGACUUUGCCUAAUUGUGCUAGAAGAUGAGCAGGUACCCAGAGGUGCCCAGCCCCCUUGCAGGCCAUCAGCAUCGCUCUGCCCACUGCAAGCUGAAAGAAGCAAGACAGAAAGAGCCCGGGACUGGCUCCCAGCACACGGGCCUCACGGGCUGACUUCAGAGCAUGGAGGAGGCAGUCAGCAGAUUCUCCUCUCAGCAACCCGGGCGUUUUCUCCACUGAGGCUGAGGGCCAGGGUCACAAAAGAAGGAAAAAAAAAAUCACAUUUUGCAUGCAAAAGUUUUCCAAAUUAAACGAGAUCCAUUCACAGAAGUCCUCCCACCGUGCUUGGCGAAUGAUUCAAAGCCUCCACAUGAUUUCAUCUGUGCAGACUCUAAUCCACUUACUUAAUGAAAUACAUAAUUAACAUAUUAUAAUUGCAGUAAAGAUGGUUUUGACAGAAAUCAUUUCCCGUAUCUAAUACUGUGGUAAUUUAAUCUGUUCCCCACUCCCUAACAUGACC